UCCCUGCUGGUCCAGUGGCUAAGACUCUGCACUCCCAAUGCAGGCAACCCAGGUUCAACCCCUGGUCAGGGAA
rnacentral:tRNA from 1 species